GUGUCAGCAGCCGCGGUAAUACGUAGGGGGCGAGCGUUGUCCGGAUUUACUGGGCGUAAAGCGCGUGUAGGUGGGGAAGCAAGUCCGGUGGGAAAGCCCGCGGCUCAACCGCGGAAGUUCGCUGGAAACUGCUACUCUUGAGGGUGAUAGAGGGAAGUGGAAUUGCUGGUGUAGCGGUGAAAUGCGUAGAUAUCAGCAGGAACACCCGUGGCGAAGGCGGCUUCCUGGAUCACCCCUGACGCUGAGACGCGAAAGCGUGGGGAGCGAACGGGAUUAGAUACCCGCGUAGUCC
rnacentral:rRNA from 1 species